rnacentral:rRNA from 1 species
GACGAACGCUGGCGGCGUGCUUAACACAUGCAAGUCGAGCGACUGCAUUCUUUUCGGAGGGUGUAUGGAGCGGCGAACGGGUGAGUAACACGUGAGUAAUCUGCCUUUGGCUUGGGAAUAACUUCGGGAAAUCGGGGCUAAUGCCUGAUGUUUACUGUCUGCUGCAUGGUGGGUGGUGGAAAGAUUUUUUGGCAGGAGUGAGCUCGCGGUCUAUCAGCUUGUGG